UACGUAGGUGGCAAGCGUUGUCCGGAUUUACUGGGCGUAAAGAGCGCGCAGGCGGUCUGUUCAGUCGCAUGUGAAAGCCCCCGGCUUAACUGGGGAGGGUCAUUCGAUACUGUCGGACUCGAAGGCAGGAGAGGGAAGCGGAAUUCCCGGUGUAGUGGUGAAAUGCGUAGAUAUCGGGAGGAACACCAGUGGCGAAGGCGGCAUCCUGGCCUGUUCUUGACGCUGAGGCGCGAAAGCUAGGGGAGCAAACGGG
rnacentral:rRNA from 1 species